rnacentral:rRNA from 1 species
GAGUUUGAUCUUGGCUCAGAUUGAACGCUGGCGGCAUGCCUUACACAUGCAAGUCGAACGGCAGCACGGGUGCUUGCACCUGGUGGCGAGUGGCGAACGGGUGAGUAAUGCAUCGGAACGUACCCGGAAGUGGGGGAUAACGUAGCGAAAGUUACGCUAAUACCGCAUAUUCUGUGAGCAGGAAAGCGGGGGAUCGCAAGACCUCGCGCUUCCGGAGCGGCCGAUGUCGGAUUAGCUAGUUGGCGGGGUAAAGGCCCACCAAGGCGACGAUCCGUAGCGGGUCUGAGAGGAUGAUCCGCCACACUGGGACUGAGACACGGCCCAGACUCCUACGGGAGGCAGCAGUGGGGAAUUUUGGACAAUGGGGGCAACCCUGAUCCAGCCAUGCCGCGUGAGUGAAGAAGGCC